ACGAACGCUGGCGGCGCGCUUUACGCAUGCAAGUCGAACGAACCUUCGGGUGAGUGGCGGACGGCUGAGUAACGCGUAGGCAACCUACCCGGUGGCGGGGGAUAACCCGCCGAAAGGUGAGCUAAUACCGCAUAAGCUUGCGGGGUGAAACUCCCCGCAAGGAAAGCAGUAAUGUGCCACCGGAGGGGCCUGCGUCCUAUCAGGUAGUUGGUGGGGUAACGGCCUACCAAGCCGAUGACGGGUAGCUGGUCUGAGAGGACGACCAGCCAGAAGGGGACUGAGACACGGCCCCUACUCCUACGGGAGGCAGCAGCGAGGAAUCUUGGGCAAUGGGCGAAAGCCUGACCCAGCGACGCCGCGUGAGGGAUGAAGGCCUUCGGGUCGUAAACCUCUUUUGCGGGGGAAGAAGAUCUGACGGUACCCCGCGAAUAAGCCACGGCUAACUACGU
rnacentral:rRNA from 1 species